GGAUUGUGGGUCAGUGGUAGAGUGCUUGCCUAGCACACAUGAAGCACUGGGUUCGAUUCUCAGCACCA
rnacentral:tRNA from 1 species